AGCACCGUAGUGUAGGGGUCAAGCACGACGCUCUCUGAAAGCGUAGACGGAUGUUUGAAUCAUCCCGGUGCCA
rnacentral:tRNA from 1 species